CAGUAGUAUUAGGAGUAUUGUGUGGUAAUUCGUGAGGCAGAAAGCCAAAGAGCAGCUCUUAAACUUCCAUCUUUACCACUGCUGAGAUACAGUGGCAGCAGUAGUUGUGUGGACUCACCUCCCCCUGGUUGAUGUACACAUGGACUCUUCCCUCCUCCCUGGUGAUGCCCGUUGCCAUGGGAGCGCCGACCAACAGAUCCGACAAACCAUCAGCGUUCAGAUCCACCACACACACGCUGGAGCCAAACGACGACCCGCAGCAUGUUGCUGUCUACUGCGAAGAUGAAGACCUGCACAGCACAAGGACACACACUAACUUCAAC